GCGGUCGUGGUGUAGCCUGGUUAACACGUCUCCCUGUCACGGAGAAGAUCGUGGGUUCAAAUCCCAUCGACCGCGCAA
rnacentral:tRNA from 2 species